UUCUAUGGAUCAAACAAAUAAGACUUAACAUCUGAAUAAUGCAGUGAGGGUUGUUGAUUGGUUAACUAUCCCUUCAGUUCAACAAAUGGACUGAUGUUCCUACGCCAGGUUAUCAUCCUUCAGGCUCCUGCAGUAUAUUUGAAACACAAAAGUCAUCUGCUGUCCAUCUGGCCGCUGUUCCAGCCGGUAAUACCCCCUCAUAUUGCUCAGCUUCUCAAGCACCCGUGGACAAUCCAUUCUCCCCACCCUGCUGUCUUACCAUCGGGUCCUACUCUCCCCAACAACACCCCUGCCGGCCCUGAUCCCCAUCCCAGGACAGAGAGGUGGGAUCCGGUGUCAGUGCCCCAGAAAGACCCCUCUCCCUGGAACAUGUGGGGGAUCAGCACCAGUGUUGUUUGGAGGGCUCACUUUCACUGUUUUUGGAUUCUCACAGUAGCGUGUGGGUAUCCAUGACUUCUCAAGUGCUGGCUCACAGCAAAUCUAACUUUUAGGAUAGACAUCAGCGGAUGUUAUCUUAGCAGAAUAAUUGUUAUGCAGCUUUUGAAUUACGUUUUGUGUAGCAUAUCUGAAGUGGUCAGACUGUUGCACCAGGGCAGGAAUGCUGGCUGUGUGAGCCUGGGGGAUGGUGCUGUGAUGUUUUUUGCUUUACACAAACUUGGCUCGUGAAAUAUCUUUGAACCAUGAAACAUUUUCCUGAACCAAUCUGACCAAACAGGGGAAAUGGAAGAGGCCUCGGCUGGGCCAUGCAAAUACUUGCACUGAUGAAAAACCCUGUGUUUACUGACUGCUUGCUGCACUACCACCAGGUCAAUAAAAGAAUCACAGAUGCA